rnacentral:rRNA from 1 species
AUUGAACGCUGGCGGAAUGCUUUACACAUGCAAGUCGAACGGCAGCACGGACUUCGGUCUGGUGGCGAGUGGCGAACGGGUGAGUAAUACAUCGGAACGUGCCCAAUCGUGGGGGAUAACGUAGCGAAAGCUCCGCAAAUACCGCAUACGAUCUAAGGAUGAAAGCGGGGGAUCGCAAGACCUCGCGCGCUUGGAGCGGCCGAUGGCAGAUUAGGUAGUUGGUAGGGUAAAGGCCUACCAAGUCGACGAUCUGUAGCUGGUCUGAGAGGAUGAUCAGCCACACUGGGACUGAGACACGGCCCAGACUCCUACGGGAGGCAGCAGUGGGGAAUUUUGGACAAUGGACGCAAGUCUGAUCCAGCCAUUCCGCGUGCAGGAUGAAGGCCCUCGGGUUGUAAACUGCUUUUGUACAGAACGAAAAGGCUCUGGUUAAUACCUAGGGCUCAUGACGGUACUGUAAGAAUAAGCACCGGCUAACUACGUGCCAGCCGCCGCCGUAA